rnacentral:rRNA from 1 species
GUGUCAGCCGCCGCGGUAAUACGUAGGUGGCAAGCGUUGUCCGGAUUUAUUGGGCGUAAAGCGAGCGCAGGCGGUCAAUUAAGUCUGAUGUGAAAGCCCACGGCUCAACCGUGGAGGGUCAUUGGAAACUGGAAAACUUGAGUGCAGAAGAGGAAAGUGGAAUUCCAUGUGUAGCGGUGAAAUGCGCAGAGAUAUGGAGGAACACCAGUGGCGAAGGCGACUUUCUGGUCUGUAACUGACGCUGAUGUGCGAAAGCGUGGGGAUCAAACAGGAUUAGAUACCCUUGUAGUCC